AGCAGCCGCGGUAAUUCCAGCUCCAAUAGCGUAUAUUAAAGUUGUUGCAGUUAAAAAGCUCGUAGUUGAAUUUCGGGAUUUAUCCGUCGGUCGGGCUUUUGGGUCUGUACUGGCGUGAUGGAUUCCUACUUUCUGAAUAACCGGCAUGUCAUUAAUUUGGUGUGCUGGGGAAGCAGGACUGUUACCUUGAAAAAAUUAGAGUGCUUAAAGCAGGCUAUUGCCUGAAUACAUUAGCAUGGAAUAAUGAAAUAGGACGGCAUGGUUCUAUUUUGUUGGUUUCUAGGAUCACCGUAAUGAUUAAUAGGGAUAGUUGGGGGCAUUAGUAUUCAAUUGUCAGAGGUGAAAUUCUUGGAUUUAUUGAAGACUAACUUCUGCGAAAGCAUUUGCCAAGGAUGUUUUCAUUAAUCAAGAACGAAAGUUAGGGGAUCGAAGACGAUCAGAUACCGUCGUAGUCUUAACCAUAAACUAUGCCGACUAGGGAUCGGACGAUGUUAAUUUUUUAAUGACUCGUUCGGCGCCUUACG
rnacentral:rRNA from 1 species